UUUUGAACAAAAGCCCCAAAAGAUGGGACCAAAAUAGGUAUUAAACCUUAAAAAAACUAAUAUAUGUAAUAUUUUCCCAAAUUUAAAACACCACAUGUGUUGCAACCUCAUUGCCAGACCACAUUUGUUGCCACAUAAUAUACACAGUCACUUAACAUUUAACGUCGUUAGCAUCUACUUAACGGAAGGGACCGAUUGCACUCAAAAUUGAAAACAUGGGAACCAAAGGGCUUCAUUUUUGAAACCAGGAACAAAACGAAAAUUCAGACCCCAACUUGGGGACUAAAAAGGUAUUUAAACCUUUUUUUUUUUUACUUUUACCAUUUAGAUUUUAUUUUUUUAGUUUAACCCCUAAUUCUACCCUCCUUUAUUUGCACAACCACUAGACCCCUACCAUUCACUUCUCUCUCUCACGGAUCUCUUUCCCAUUUCCGUUUUCUCCCUUCUUCUUCCUCCCCUUUCACUUAUGAUUUUUGUUUUCAUUUGUCAUCCCCAU
rnacentral:lncRNA from 1 species